UUGUUUUUAAAACUCGUGCAGUUGAGGAGUACCACCGAAAUGAAUGAUUCCGAUCAGGGAGAAUGGAAACAAUUUUGGCAGAUCGUGUACAAUGUAACUCUUGCCGUGAUGAUUCUUCAGUUUAAUGUCAUAAAUCUCUGAAAAAGAUCAGGUACAUUGUCAUCAGCAGUCGUUAAUGUCGCUUGAGAGCAAGUACGAAUAUUUACGUUGCAAAUUAAAAAUGCAACUAACGGAGUUAAUUAACGCCAUACGUGGAGUUAAUUAACGUCUUACGUAUUUACGUGAAUAUCUAAAAAUAUGUGAUCAUACAUCUACAUAUAUAAAUGAAUAUAUUCGUUGAAACUUUUGUAAAUUUCUAGCAGAGCGAAGGGAAAACGGCGUUUAUGUUUAUUUUUGUCGCCGUCAAAAGUGAAAGUAAUCGAAGUUUAGUGGCGCGAUCUACUGUUUAUUUCUCAGACUUAACACAAUUGCUUCUGAGAACAGGUGGUUUCUCUCGGAUUAUUCAGUUACCGUUCUACUUACGAUUAAGCUUCUACUUAGGUAAAUUCGAUUUCACGACUUAAGUGUAAGCUUUUUACAAUAACACGUAACAACAGUUUAAACGAUUAAUUACAAAAUGUAAUAAAGUAGUAAAGUAAUUAAGAGAGAGAGAGAACAAAUUGAACCAAUAAAAACUAACGACAUUGAAUUAACCGUAACGAAGGAAAGCCAGUAUUACAUGAACUUCAUUCCAUUGUCAUUCUACUAAUAAGAUGGUAUUUCAGUGCAUUUAUUAAUUGGAGUGUUUUCUAUACGAAUCUACGAACCAACGAUGUAUCUGCAAUUUUCAUUAAAAAUAUGAGUGGAAACGCCGAGUGGUAAUAAUUAACGUUAAUACACCUGGUACGACACGGUCAUUGAGUAGCCAUCGCAAUGAAGAAGGCUGCGAAAACGAUUUCCUCGACUUGAUCGUCGUGAAACAAAUUGGGGGCUAAGGUCAAACCUCGUGUGUGUGACCUUAGUGCGUGGUGGCAGGCUCGUGUAUGCGAUUCACAGCACUACACUAUUGGCAGUUACCUUCUCUCUCUCCUUUCGUCACUUUGAAGAUGAGUCGCGCGCAUGCACAUAAUGUGAGUCACACAUGACGACCGAUCUGAAUUAAUCACAUCCUGCCCACUGUGUCAUGUGACAUUAAUGUCAUUGCCGUGUGUCGUCCGACUGAGAGAGGAUCGGGUAAAAUAAACGAAAAGAAUCGCCUCGAACGCCUGGCCCUUCUGUUAAUUGAAUUUCUUUUGUAGACAGGUCCACGAUACGGCAUCUCGAAAUGGACCUGAAUGGAUCAGUUGAUAAUUCAAAGUUGGAGGAGAUAACCUACCGUUUCUAAUUAUUACUGUUAAUCAGUAAAGGACAAAGAAGAAAAAAUAAUUAUUACUGUUAAUGAUAGAGUCAAGUAUGAAGUCUCAUAUUUAAAAAGAGAGCUGUUUGAGUUGCAUGUCUUUUUGUCUUUUAAUGAAAUUCAGCAUACGCUUGGAUUUUUAAGAUAACUUUAAUUCAAAGCUUCAGCUUAAAAUAAUUUUAUGUUAUAUGUUAUGUCAUAUUUGACGACAUUAUUACAGCUCUUUUGUAAUUUCCCUUGAAGUCGAUGAAUUGUUUUGAAAAUUUUUCAUCAAUCAUCACACAGUGUAUGAGGCGGAUUUUAACUUGAAUUUAACUUAAGCUAGGAAUAAGAUAUAUUGAAUUUAACUUAAGCUAGGAAUAAGAUACAUUGUAUCUAGCCUUGGUGUAUAAUAUUAUAUACAUCGCAUUGCAAAUUUGACUCUACGUAAUUGUAAAAUCUUCUUUGGACUCUGUAUCAUAUAUUAGAUGCGAGAAUGUUUAUAAAUUAAUUCGGAAUGACGAAAAUUAUGCAUUAGUUUGCGAUAUUGAUGCAGUCCAAUAAUGUAAUAUGAAAUAAUUAUUGAUUAAACAAAUAUUUAUAUCGAAAA